rnacentral:rRNA from 1 species
UACGUAGGGUCCGAGCGUUGUCCGGAAUUACUGGGCGUAAAGAGCUCGUAGGUGGUUUGUCGCGUUGUUCGUGAAAACUCACAGCUCAACUGUGGGCGUGCGGGCGAUACGGGCAGACUAGAGUACUGCAGGGGAGACUGGAAUUCCUGGUGUAGCGGUGAAAUGCGCAGAUAUCAGGAGGAACACCGGUGGCGAAGGCGGGUCUCUGGGCCGAUACUGACGCUGAGGAGCGAAAGCUAGGGGGAGCAAACGGG